rnacentral:rRNA from 1 species
GACGAACGCUGGCGGCGUGCCUAAUACAUGCAAGUCGAACGCAGUGGGGACGGUUGAGUAACACGUGGGUAACCUCCCAUCAGAGGGGAUAACACUUGGCAACAGGUGCUAAACCGAUACUGAUUGCUUGACCCGCGGUUCAUUAGCUAGUUGGUGAGGUAACGGCUCACCAAGGCCACGAGGCAUAGCCGAACUGAGAGGGUGAUCGGCCACACUGGGACUGAGACACGGCCCAGACUCCUACGGGAGGCAGCAGUAGGGAAUCUUCGGCAAUGGACGAAAGUCUGACCGAGCAACGCAGCGUGAGUGAAGAAGGUGUUCGGAUCGUAAAACUCGGUUGUUAGAGAAGAGGUAUCUAAACAGAAAGCAACGGCUAACUACGUGCCAGCAGCCGCGGUAAUUC